CCUACGGGAGACAGCAGUGGGGGAUAUUGGACAAUGGGGGGAACCCUGAUCCAGCGACGCCGCGUGAGUGAAGAAGUAUUUCGGUAUGUAAAGCUCUGUCAGCAGGGAAGAAAGAAAUGACGGUACCUGACCACUAAGCCCCGGCUAACUACGUGCCAGCAGCCGCGGUAAUACGUAGGGUGCAAGCGUUAUCCGGAAUUACUGGGUGUAAAGGGAUCGUAGACGGUUAAGUAAGUCUGGAGUGAAAGGCCGGGGCCACACCCCAGGACUGCUCUUGAAACUAUUGAACUUGAGUGCAGGAGAGGUAAGCGGAAUGCCUAGUGUAGCGGUGAAAUGCGUAGAUAUUAGGAGGAACACCAGUGGCGAAGGCGGCUUACUGGACUGUAACUGACGUUGAGGCUCGAAAGCGUGGGGAGCAAACAGGAUUAGAUACCCUUGUAGUC
rnacentral:rRNA from 1 species